rnacentral:rRNA from 1 species
ACUCCUACGGGAGGCAGCAGUAGGGAAUCUUCCGCAAUGGACGAAAGUCUGACGGAGCAACGCCGCGUGAGUGAAGAAGGUUUUCGGAUCGUAAAACUCUGUUGUUAGAGAAGAACAAGGAUGAGAGUAACUGCUCGUCCCUUGACGGUAUCUAACCAGAAAGCCANGGCUAACUAC